GGGGGAGGAGGUAGAAGAGGUUGGAUGAGGAGAAGGUUAUAGCUUGUUUGAUUUUAUUCUUUCUCUCUGCUUUAGCUUGUUAGUAAUAGGUGAUACAUUUCAUUAAUCUCUCAGUGCUGUGUCUGUUUUGUCCAUGAUGAUAAUUGUUGAGUGAUCUCCCUGUCCUCAUCUCAACCCUUGAGCCCCUUUCCAUCAUAUUUUCUCUCCCUUUUCCUCUGAGGUGGAGGAGACUCUGAGAGAGCAGUUGUGGUGGUGUUCAGCUGCCCAGCAGGGGUGGAUGCCAAAAUCCCUAUAACAGGAUAUCUUCUGCCAACUGAGAUAUUCCAUUUGAGGAAGCAAUUUGAGACUCAUACUGCUCACAGGGCAGACAGUCCACCAGGAGGUGAGAUCUCUAAAUACAACAUGUUUGGAGAUGAGACGUUUCACCAGGCAAGUAUAGCCACAUGUAUAAUGUGUUUCUAAUGAUAAUAGCAUUAAAGAUAUAAUAGACUAUGUUCUACUGUCAGGGAUACCAUGGAACUACAUUUGAAGAGUCCACAAAUCUUUGUCUAAAGAGAAAGGCAAAAAAGUGAAGGAAAGGAGAAAGGAGUAGGGAGGAAAGGACCAUGAAAGAGAAAGGGAGAGAUACAAGAAGGAAGGGAGGGAGGAGAAAGAAAAGGAAAGAAAACGAAAGAAAAGGAAAGAAAA
rnacentral:lncRNA from 1 species